UGAGGCUUCCUGAGCAGCCAGCUGAGCAAUGGGGUGAGUCAUCUCCUGGAGGAACACGUUCGCUAGCUGGGUACAAGCUCAUCUCCAUAGGUGCCUCGUUCUGAAGUGAGGUGCAGCUCGUCUCAUUCCUCUUGAGGAUUGCUUUGUGGGCCUCUGCAGCUGCUCCUUGACAAGGCAGGGAGUGUGUCCCAGGCAUGAUGCAUGUUCCACAGUCAGUCCCGGUCAUGUGCUACAUCUGCUCCCUGAAGUCAUCUACAACAACAUGCUCUCCAACGCUAACAGCUUUCAGGUGGCACAGCAAUAUGUUCUGCACAUGGUCUGAAUCGGGGCUUUUCACACAGCCAUCACAUUUGCUUAGGGAGAAAGUUCCUUUCCAGAGCAGAAACACAACAUCAUCCCUUCCAGUUCCAUCUGAGAGAAACAGAUAAAAGAAUAUGAAAAAAAAAUCAUUCUGCUGCUGCUGAGUGAUGCUCAUGGAAGAGAAAACUCUGGACUAAAUAUGUUUAUUGUGGGUAUUACCAAAGACAAGAGGAGAUCACACAUCGGAGGUUUCAAUUGCUGAGGAUGAUACAUUUGUUUAAUAGUUAUGCUUUCCCUAUACCUGGCUCUGAUACAGACUGAGACAGAGAUCAUGAGGCAUGUUUUCAGAAAGACAUUUUGUGUUUUUAAAAUUAAAUUUUACUUGCCAAAGAACAAGCUCCUGAGUAGCAGUUCUUUCUAGUGCUCCGUAUCUACAGCAAGGCUCAAAUAUAUUUUCUCCUAAAAAGCAGUUUUCAGGACUAUGAAUUAAAUCCUCCAUAAAAUUUUGAUAAAGAUCUCGAAGCUUCAACUUCAGAAAGCAUGUACUUAUUAAAACUCCUCUUACUAGAUGUUUAAUAUAAUAUUGACAUCUAGUAAUUAAUUUAUCCAUGAUAGCAUUCAAUUCUUUUCUGCCUAUUAAUGCUGCAGUGUUCAUUUUUGCAUGUCAUAGAAAUAAACAGAGAAGAUACCAAUAGAUUUUUUUCUAUUA